rnacentral:rRNA from 1 species
UUCCCCUAGUAACUGCGAGUGAAGCGGGAAAAGCUCAAAUUUAAAAUCUGAGGGUCUUACGGCCUUCCGAGUUGUAAUCUAGAGAAGUGCUAUCCGCGCUGGACCGUGUACAAGUCUCCUGGAACGGAGCGUCAUAGAGGGUGAGAAUCCCGUCUUUGACACGGACUACCAGGGCUUUUGUGAUGCGCUCUCAAAGAGUCGAGUUGUUUGGGAAUGCAGCUCUAAAUGGGUGGUAAAUUCCAUCUAAAGCUAAAUAUUGGCGAGAGACCGAUAGCGAACAAGUACCGUGAGGGAAAGAUGAAAAGAACUUUGGAAAGAGAGUUAAACAGUACGUGAAAUUGUUGAAAGGGAAACGCUUGAAGUCAGUCGCGUUGGCCAGGAAUCAACCUUGCUUUUGCUUGGCGUACUUUCUGGUUAAUGGGUCAGCAUCAAUUUUGACCGGUGGAUAAAGAUCAGGGGAAUGUGGCAUCUUCGGAUGUGUUAUAGCCUCUGGUCGCAUACAUCGGUUGGGAUUGAGGAACUCAGCACGCCGCAAGGCCGGGUUUUUACCACGUACGUGCUUAGGAUGCUGGCAUAAUGGCUUUAAUCGACCCGUCUUGAAACACGGACCAAGGAGUCUAACAUGCACGCGAGUGUUUGGGUGGAAAACCCGAGCGCGUAAUGAAAGUGAAAAUUGAGAUCCCUGUCGUGGGGAGCAUCGAUGCCUGGACUUGAUCUUUUGUGACGGUUCCACGGUUGAGCGUGUAUGCUGGGACCCGAAAGAUGGUGAACUAUGCCUGAAUAGGGUGAAGCCAGAGGAAACUCUGGUGGAGGCUCGUAGCGAUUCUGACGUGCAAAUCGAUCGUCAAAUUUGGGUAUAGGGGCGAAAGACU